UACAGAGGUCCCAAGCGUUGUUCGGAGUUACUGGGCGUAAAGGGUGCGUAGGUGGCUCUAUAAGUAUGGUGUGAAAUCUCCCGGCUUAACUGGGAGGGUGCGCCGUAGACUGUGGGGCUAGAGUGUGGGAGAGGAAAGUGGAAUUCCUGGUGUAGCGGUGAAAUGCGUAGAUAUCAGGAGGAACACCGGUGGUGUAAACGGCUUUCUGGACCAUAACUGACACUGAGGCACGAAAGCGUGGGUAGCAAACAGG
rnacentral:rRNA from 1 species